rnacentral:rRNA from 1 species
UACGUAGGGUGCAAGCGUUAAUCGGAAUUACUGGGCGUAAAGCGUGCGCAGGCGGUGAUGUAAGACAGUUGUGAAAUCCCCGGGCCUCAACCUGGGAACUGCAUCUGUGACUGCAUCGCUGGAGUGCGGCAGAGGGGGAUGGAAUUCCGCGUGUAGCAGUGAAAUGCGUAGAUAUGCGGAGGAACACCGAUGGCGAAGGCAAUCCCCUGGGCCUGCACUGACGCUCAUGCACGAAGCGUGGGGAGCAAACAGGA